AACGAACGCUGGCGGCAGGCCUAAUACAUGCAAGUCGAACGGAUGUAGCAAUACAUUAGUGGCGCACGGGUGCGUAACACGUGGGAACAUACCCCUUGGUAAGGAAUAAUAUCUGGAAACGGAUACUAAUACCUUAUAAUAUCUUCGGAUCAAAGAUUUAUCGCCAAGGGAUUGGCCCGCGUCUGAUUAGCUAGUUGGUGAGGUAACGGCUCACCAAGGCGACGAUCAGUAGCUGGUCUGAGAGGAUGAUCAGCCACACUGGGACUGAGACACGGCCCAGACUCCUACGGGAGGCAGCAGUAAGGAAUAUUGGACAAUGGGCGAAAGCCUGAUCCAGCCAUGCCGCGUGAGUGAAGAAGGCCUUAGGGUUGUAAAGCUCUUUCAAUGGUGAAGAUAAUGACGGUAGCCAUAGAAGAAGCCCCGGCUAAAUUCGUGCCAGCAGCCGCAGUAA
rnacentral:rRNA from 1 species